GGCUGUGUGGUGCAAGUGGGAAGCACGCUGGAGCAACCCUUCCGGGGUCCAGAGGUUUCCGGUUCGAAUCCGGGCACAGUCU